rnacentral:rRNA from 1 species
AUUGAACGCUGGCGGCAUGCCUUACACAUGCAAGUCGAACGGUAACGGGCCUUCGGGUGCCGACGAGUGGCGAACGGGUGAGUAAUGCAUCGGAACGUACCUUUCAGUGGGGGAUAACGUAGCGAAAGUUACGCUAAUACCGCAUAUUCUGUGAGCAGGAAAGCAGGGGAUCUUCGGACCUUGCGCUUUUGGAGCGGCCGAUGUCGGAUUAGCUAGUUGGUGGGGUAAAGGCCCACCAAGGCGACGAUCCGUAGCGGGUCUGAGAGGAUGAUCCGCCACACUGGAACUGAGACACGGUCCAGACUCCUACGGGAGGCAGCAGUGGGGAAUUUUGGACAAUGGGCGCAAGCCUGAUCCAGCCAUGCCGCGUGAGUGAAGAAGGCCUU